rnacentral:misc_RNA from 1 species
GAAAUGCGAUAAGUAAUGUGAAUUGCAGAAUUCAGUGAAUCAUCGAAUCUUUGAACGCAGCUUGCGCUCCUUGGUAUUCCUUGGAGCAUGCCUGUUUGAGUAUCAUGAAAUCUUCAAAGUAAAUCUUUUGUUAACUCAAUUGGUUUCUACUUUGGUAUUGGAGGUCUUUGCAGCUUCACACCUGCUCCUCUUUGUUCAUUAGCUGGAUCUCAGUGUUAUGCUUGGUUCCACUCGGCGUGAUAAGUUAUCUAUCGCUGAGGACACUGUAAAAGGUGGCCAAGGUAAAUGCAGAUGAACCGCUUCUAAUAGUCCAUUGACUUGAACAAUACUUUUAUGAUCUGAUCUGAAAUCAGGUAGGACUACCCGCUGAACUUAAGC